CAGCAGCCGCGGUAAUACCGGCGGCCCGAGUGGCGGUCACUAUUAUUGGGCUUAAAGCGUCCGUAGCCGGGUUGGGAAGUCCUCCGGGAAAUCUGGCCGCUUAACGGUCCGAAUGCCGGAGGAUACUCCCAGCCUAGGGAGCGGGAGAGGCCGAGGGUAUUCCCGGGGUAGGGGUGAAAUCCUAUAAUCCCGGGAGGACCACCUGUGGCGAAGGCGCUCGGCUGGAACGCGUCCGACGGUGAGGGACGAAGGCCAGGGGAGCAAACCGGAUUAGAUACCCGGGUAGUCCUGGCUGUAAACGAUGCGGACUUUGUGUCGGACAAGCUAUGAGCUUGUCCGGUGCCGGAGGGAAACCGUUAAGUCCGCCGCCUGGGGAGUACGGCCGCAAGGCUGAAACUUAAAGGAAUUGGCGG
rnacentral:rRNA from 1 species